GGGUGUGGAAGGGGAAGAGAAAGAUCGAUAUCUACUACCCUACUUUUUCUCUUAUGCAUUUUUGUCCCUCGCCAGUCUCGCCCAUAUUGUUAAUUUGCUCUGAUAAGGCUGGUGCAAUUCACUGAAAUGAGCUACGUUCUUGUUUUCUUUUUUAAAGAUGUUUAUAAUUUGCUCCCUCUCAAAAAGGGGAGGGGUUCUUUGUUAGGUGGAAAGAAGACAAGAACAUGCUGCUUGGUGUCAGUUAUUGUGCGCUAUUGAUGGAUGGGAUCGGCAGGGGACAAAAAUGGCAUAAGAGAGAUGUACAAGGGUUGGGAAGGGGAAGAGAAAGAUCGAUAUCUACUACCCUUCCUUUUCUCUUAUGCAUUUUUGUCCCUCGCCAGUCUCGCCCAUAUUGUUAAUUUGCUCUGAUAAGGCCAUGGUGCAAUUCACGGAAAUGAGCUACGUUCUAGUUUUCUUUUUUUUAAAGAUGUUUAUAAUUUGCUCCCUCUCAAAAAGGGGAGGGGUUCUUUGUUAGGUGGAAAGAAGACAAGAACAUGCUGCUUGGUGUCAGUUAUUGUGCGCUAUUGAUGGAUGGGAUCGGCAGGAGACAAAAAUGGCAUAAGAGAGGUACAGUGGGAGGCAGGAGAAAGACCAAUAUCUGCCACCCUUCUUUCUCUCUUAUGCGUUUUUGUCUCUCGCCGGUCACACCCGUGUUAAUUUGCCCUGAUAAGGCCAUGGUAUAUAUAUAUGAUUCUUUGACCCAAUUCACAUGACAAUCUUCUUCUCUAGACUGCAUCGUCUUGUUCAUGAGGUAUGUUCUUGUCUUCUUUUUGAAAGAUGUUUAUAAUUUGAUCUCUAUCAAACACAGGGCAGAUAUGCUUUGCUAGGAGGGAAAAACUUGCAGAAACAAUAUGGAACGGGAAGUUUGUUCUGGUGGGACAAGAAGGAAGCCUGUGGGAUUGGAGAGGAAAGGAAGUCCCGGGAAGAUGAGGACGUCGUUGCACAGCUUAGACGAGAAAGAAGAAAUUAUUUUUUAAUGUUAUUUAAUUAGUUUUGUUCUUAUUAAUUUCUUUUCUUUUUCUUAGACCAGUAUUUCUUACGAACUAUCUUAUUUAUACGAGUAUAAUAAAAGGGAGGGUUUUGGAGAAACCUUGCUGCAAAGGUUUAAUUAUUUUCC